UCAUACACCUUAUGGGUUCUGAAAGUUUAAUUAUUUGGCAAGUAUACAUUGGUUUUUUUAAAAUAUUUUAAUGUACUUUAUACUAAGAUCCAUCUGAAAAUAUUGCUACUAAAGAUGUAGCAAAUUAGAUUAAAAUAUUUUUAAAUCUAUAUUAAUAUCUCUCAUGCUAUUGCCAAUUUAUUGAGUCUUGAUGGGUUAUUUAAGUAAGCCCACAAUAAUGGGGGCUUUUUGUUCAACACAUAAUUAGUCUAUAUCCUUGAAAUUCAAUAAAACUUUGCUGCACUAAAUAGCGGCUGUUAAUGCUUUCUGAGUAUCUUUAAUAUGUACGAUUCACAGUACUUGCAAAUCAUUAAAACAUGACAUUGUUUCACAAACAAUGCCACGUUCGUCACAGAGGAGCCAAAAAAUACUGGGAGCAGAGUGCUGAGAAGACAGGAAAUAAUGAGCUCGUCCUCUGACCCCAUUUUGAUGCCUCUUUGACCCAAAAAGCGAGUAGUGCUUGAUAGGCAGGCAUGGCUGAUCACCAGGGCCUCUAAGGAGGUUAGAAAUUGCAUGCAGGAAACCUUAGAAUCUCUGUUUUCACAUCAGGCUCAGAAAGCUAUCCAUGGUUUUGAUAUUUACUGAAAUACACCUGACAUCUGUUAGAAAGGAGGGAUCCUAGCUGUCAGCUGCACUAUUCUGAGACUAGAGAAUACUGUACAGCAAGUACAUACAAAGUCUGACCUCUGUGUCAAAUUACCCUGAUCUUUCUCCCUGCAGCUCUUCUGGAGAGGUGGGGAAGCUUCUGGGUCUCACCACUGACCUUAUCCUCACCUUUUAAGAAAAAAUGUUGUGGACUAACUAGGACCACUACUAAAGGACGAUGUCUUAAUUUUCUGGAGUUACAACAGCCUUACAGAAUCAAAUUUAAUCUUACUCUGCCAAUAGCCAACUGCAAACCCUGAUUACCUUUUGCGGGGUUAGCAUCAAGGCCCUUGGCCUGAUUCUGCCAGAGCUCCAGGCAGUUUUAGAUAACUGCUCUCACAAUAUCAUUUGUCAGACCAAGGUUUUGGCUUACACAAGAUCAGAAGGAAAAACAGUUAUCAAAUGCAUUGCUGAGUCGUGGUUCCAAUGGGAGAAUGCAGGGAAAUACAACUGUUACUAAAUCUUUCAAAUGUUACAUUAAGUCAUUUCAUCCUCAGUGCUCUUCACAAUUACUAAAGUUAAUUUAUAAACAGAAGGAAAAAACAUUGUCCCCAUUAGUAAAAAAUGGUUUUUGAAAUGCUUUACUUAUAGCAAGUAAUUAAAUAAAUUGGAAAGAAGCCUGUAUUCUGUAAAUGUGUACACUGACCAUGAAAAGUGCCAGUGUGUAUAUAUAAAGUCUCAUGAAAGAGAGAGGUUUCAGUAUUGCCCAGGACCAAGGUCAUACCAAGUUAGCACAGGACACUGAUCCUGCAGUGUUAGACAAGUAUGUGCUGAGGCAGUGAGCAGGACUUUUCACAGCACAGGGAGUUUGGGACGUGCAGUAAUUUGGGACAUCUGGGGCCAAAACUAUACGGGGCAUUUUUCUAGGCCUUUUUUCCUUAUGUUUAGAGAGCUAGAUUUGCAUUUAAAAUUGCUGCCUAUUUCAAGUUUCUUGGUUUUAAUAUGUUAGAGGUCUUAUGUCCAUCUGCUUUGAUCUUUUUGAAUUUCUGGCCUCUUUCAGAUGAUUUCAAAUUUAACACCUAAGAACUGAGAUGCUAAUGACUUCUAUGCAGUGUGUUGUAUUGUUAAAUGUAUCUUGAUUUGUGUGUUUCUUAUGUAGGUAAUAAUUUGGCUUACAGGUAGCUGGAGCAGCCUGCAGCUGCUCCCCUGAAAUCUGUGGGAGUCUUUUAGCUUUGACGGCAGCAUGAGCUGGCUCUAACCUAGAGGCCAUGCAGCUGGCUUUUACCAUACUUAGCUGGGUAUGAAAUCAUUGUAUUAGUCAGAACAAUGAGGAGGCAGCAGCAAAGCUGAAAUUGAAGCUUCAAGGAUCUGACUCAUUCCGUUUCUGGCGCAAAGAGGUGCAAAUUGCACUUCCUGAAUUUGCUGCACACCUACCAAACCCCAAUUACUGCACACCCCAAACGGGCUGUGCUGUGAAAAGCCCUGCUCACUGCCUCAGCACAGAGCCAUCAACUGAUUAGCUGUUGGCAGCUGCUGUUUGUAGGAUGUUAGCUGAAAGUUAUCUGUGUGUUGCUGCAACUCUCUUUACCAGCCCUGCAGUCCUAGCUCACUGUCACCCAGAGAGCCCGGUUUGCUGCAAUGGUACCCUGAGAAUCUUCAGCUGGACAACAACAUGACAGAGCAGGGCCCUCAUCCUCUGCUGGUCAUAAGGAGCAUAUUGUCUACUUGGUUUUUUCCAUCAGAACUAGCAAGAAUAUAGCUCCUCAGAUGUGUUCUAUAUAUGUGUUCUAGGGAACUAGAAUAAUUUUAUCACCCUAGUUCAUAAUAUUAUAUAAAAAAAAACAAAACCCAAACAAAAAAACCCACAUAAACCAAAGCUGCAAGCCCACUGUGGUCUUGCAGAAAGCAUGUUGCAGCCCCUUUUAAGUCACAAACCCUGUCUGAGAAUUAUCAAAUGCAGUGGGUUGUAGCUAUGUCAGUCUGAUUCAGCAGGUAAUUGUGCAUGGAGACAGCCACAAGGUACACUCAGCAUGAAGAGCCAGCCAAAGGAAUUCUGCCUGCUGAUCUUUGAUGGUUGGAGCAAAGGAGGAGCUUUCUAGGACAAGUCAGAGAAGAUGGGAGGCAUGUUUUUCCCGGUGCCUGGGUCAUUAUACAGAAUGUACUGGUGCAGACACCCCUGGUUGCUGCUGUUUUCUAUCCAGGGUAGCAGCUUGCAGAUACUCAUUUAGGACUGUUAUUGACAGCUAGUUUGGGGGAAAGGCUGUUGCCAUUCUAAGGCUUGGGACCAAAAUUUGCAUGAAAAAUGUAUGUGCACAACGUCUUAGGCUAUUAACAGGUAUUCUCUUAUCACAGCAAAUUAAUUAGGAGAACUACAUUCUAAGUAAGGGGAGCUGGGAUUUGUUACUUUUUCUGUUUCUGUAAAAUUUUAGUCCACAGUAAAUCUGUGGUAGCUGUGAGGUUAUAGUAUUUGUUACAGUAUUUAUAUCUCUUGCUAUUACUUUUUGAGUCUUUGAUGGCAUAAAAAACUGUAAAUGCCUCUAGAAGGACUCACAUUCUAACUAUGUAAUGACAUUGUAGACAUUUUGGUUUCCAAGUAACUUCUCUAAUUUUGCUUCUCUUUAAUUUCUCUUGCUUCUUCUUUUUCAAUGAGCAAUGUUUUAGCAACACAGAGAAGGAAACAUGCAAAAAGUACUCCAAUUUGAACAAAGACAAAAUACAAGGACCUGGGAGCUGCCUUUAAAGAUCAUGAACGUGUUUGGUAAUUCAUCUGAGAGGAAAUGCUCAGUAUCAGUGUAUAUGGAAGUGUACUAAAAACCAUUCCUUUAAGCAGAUGAUUACAUUGUUAUUAUUUCACUUAGCUUGCUAAUACCAGAGAUAGUUUGAGAAUGCUUUCAAAUGAAGAAAUAAGUGCAAUAUUUUCUCCUGUGCCAUCACCUGCUAUGUUGUUCCCUCCUCUCUGACCUUGGUGCAAUCUGUUAAACAGUACAAGUACUUAAUGUGACAACUCCACAAUUUGUAAUAUGGACAAUGUUUGGAGUAUAAGGAGCAAGUGGCAGAAGACCUCUUACUUUGAUGGCACUUCACUGGUAUCUUGAUUCAUAUGCUGAUCUCCACAUUAUUUACGGCCAGUGUGCUCGGUGAAACACCAACUCAUCAUUUGUGCUUGGAUUACAACAAAGCUUAAAGCUAUUUGCCUAUUACUUACAGAAAGCAAAAAAGAAACACCUCAAGGUACACUCAAAACAGAACCUCAUGGCCAACUCUGCCUGGAGCUACUUUUGUCAGAGCAGCUGGAAUUGUUUUAAUUGUAGUUCAUAUAAUCAUCAUUGUAAUUGACUACUGCCUCUUCUGCAGAGAAGAAAAACAUGAUGGUCAUUCAAAUAUCUAAAAUAAAAAGCCCAGAAAAAACUAUCAUUAUUCAUGGACAGCAAUUGAGUUUGCACCUUCUGCUAUUUCUGAUAACAGGUGUUGGAAGACACCAUGAAAGCACUAUUUCACAGCCCUUCUUACUUUGUAAUUUGCACUGUUUUAACCCUGUGGUUUAUGGUCAGUGAAACAAAGAGCUGCAAAGCAAGCUAUUCAAGAGGCGAAGACUUGGUGCAAUUACUCACCACAUGGCAAACAUUAAUGACACAGCAGCUAUUUAGUUUGCUGAAUUAGGUGAGUGAUCUUAUAUGCAAAAUUAUAACUUUCCACUUUCUAAGCAAUUAUGAUCAUCAGGACUGUAAAAUAAAGAAGAAAGUCUUGGAUACUCCUGCACAAAAUGUUUUUAUGACACUGAAACUUAAGAGAAGUCGAACUGUUUCACUCCUUUAACAAUUUUCAUAUUCUUGUUAUUAUGACCCUACUGCUAUGAAGCUGGCUAUGAAACAAGAUCAAGCAGAAGACAGAGUACAACUUUGCACGUAAGAAUGCUACAGGUUUGCCAAAUGAAAUCUAAAACAGGAUUUAUUUUAAAAGAAAUUAAAACCUGCUUUGACUGGCAGUGAAAAUUAUGAUUACGAAGAAUAUGAUGGAAUCUAUCUGAAGUGUUGAAUCAGAGCAGGAGAGACUAGAAGAGUCCUGCUACAGGGAGGUGGGGGAAAGUCCAAGCUGACAGGUGGAAAAAAGUACUGUGUGUAUGAAGACUGGAGUAACAUGGCCUGUUCUGAGUAUCACUUAACUGCGUGGCAAGUACAGGACCAGAUUUAGAAUAACCGCAAACUGAAACCUGAAUAGUGGUGGAAACAGUCAUCUCUACAGAACUCUGGUAACACAAGUUGGGUGAUCGAUGGGGUCUCUCUUCUGAGUGUCUUGUUCACAAGCACUUGUCCUGGCAAAAAGCCCUAUGUCCUGGAUAUCAGGAAGCAGUUCACAGUUUUUCCUUUCUGUGGCUUCUUUGGGGUUACAGUCCCAGGAGCAGGUGGUCUUAAGUUCAGUCACUAAUGCAGAUUUAUUGUGGCUGUUACAACAAUUUUGGUAUCUUUUAAAGGCAGAGUUUGCAGUUAACGUAAAUUCCAGUUGAUAAACCUUUAGAUAAUACCAGAUUUUAUGCAGUUUUAUCAUAAUAAGAUGAUUGUAGACCACAAGCUAAGGCAACCACAGACUUUCUCAAACAAGUACGCUCAGCAUGUUAUAUUUAACAAGACACCAAACAUUCCAUGAUCAUCAAAUCCUUUUCUCCAAUAGAGCUCCUCCUUAUAAAAGAGGUAAUGCCAGUAGAAUCUUUGUCAGGUAGACAAAAGCUAAUGAGGGAUGUAGUUAAUUUCUGACUUUCUCCUUAUCCCUUAUGAGAGCUCUAAAAAGCUCUCUUAAGCUACUUUUGCUUUGUUGUGUUUUUAUGCUUUAAAUGCAUAAUGCAAAAUACGCUAUUUGUCUCUGCUUUUCCUCUGCAUUUGUGAAAUGGUCAUUGGUCCAUUUUAUAGUGGCAGAGAACCUCAGAGAGCAGCAGAGGCCAACCUGCUCGCCAACACUGAGUAACCACAGGCUAAAAAUAGCUGAGAACUGCAUGCUGUGUAGAAAAGACACAGAAACCAAUUGUCCUUGUGGUAAUCCUUCUUCCUUCAGGAUUAUGAUUGGUAUUGCUUGUUAAUUUGUAUAUUCUCCACUCUUAAUGGAGAGGAUAUAUUCUGAUGCUAUAUACAGAGGAUUUCAGAGUGGUGACAGCUGUUGGUGGUUGUCAUUUCAGAGAAUGUAGACAGAAACACCUUGGAGUGUAUCUUCAAGGUUGCCUUCUGUGGUGGUGCAUCCUCCCCCACUCCUUGGGCUGCACUAUCGUCUCAGAAACGCCCAUUAAACCUCGGCCUUGAUGAACAGAACCUGGACUGAGCUCCUUUUGAGCUUGUCAGAAACUCUAUCAGCUCCUGUUUUUCGAAGAAUAGCCUUGGAAAAUUAGUUUUCAAGCCUGAAUAUCAACUUGAGUGGAACAACAUUUUUAUUAUCAAACUUUCAAAGAACGUCACUGACUGUAAUCAUGGCCAGGAUGGAAAAUUGCUAUGACUAAAGGGUUGUCCUAAGUGAGACCCUUUGAGCUGUCCUGGACCACAGCAGGCUGUGCCCAGCCUCCCCCACCUGAGUGGGACACGCUUGGAGCAGGUUCAAAGCUGGAAGACAAAGGCUUAGAACUCCCCUUCCAUUUGUCAGGAGCAGAGGAAGAAAUGAAGGAACAAGCUUCACAACUGAACUAAUUAGGAGAAAUGGUUUGAGAUCUACUGGCCUCAAAGAGCAGCCCACAUUUAGCAGCAUAUUGGACAGCUAAGCUUGAGCAUGUGAGCCUGAAAUGGAUUUGUUGGUUGAAUUGGUUCUACAUUUGUAAGAUUAUUUGGAGCUGUGAGGCAGUCAUCUCUACACAUAGGUUUUAAGCAGUGAGAUUACUCUGUCCUGUUAUGUGACAUUUUAUUUCAUCAAAUGCUAAACAGCUUUUGUGGGACUUCAGAUAUUUUCUCUUCUGCUGACACAUGUUGGCUUCCUACCCCUGCUUGUUCCAGUACCUGUAUUAUUCACAAGUGAUUUCUUAAUAUUUUUUAUAAUGAGAAAUGUGUGUUAUUCUCAUCUUGCUUGCUCUUGAAAAUAGAUGGACAGUCCUUACUAAAGCUUUAUGGAAAAAGAAAACCAACAAUAAUUGAGAUCAUAUUCACAGACUGGUUCUUCUGAAAGUCUUAUGUUCCAGAAGUAUCUUUAAUCAUGUGUUUUUAAAAGAAAGUUUUUGAUCAUUUGAAAAUGUAAAAUGGCUGAAUAGAAUUUAAGUUGGCUACUUUGAGAAACUUCCUUUUUUUCCAACCUAAUUUUUAUUGCCCUUCUUGUCUACUGUCUAGUAUAACCAAGGAUGAUUCAGAUAAAAUGACUGUAAUCUCCCUGCAGGAUUUUAUGUGACUCAGUGAAGCCUUAUUCCAUAUCAAAUCUUUGAAUUUUUCACUCUCUAAAAGAAACGUUUUCUCCUUGAAACUGGAAGAAAUUGGUGAUGCGAACAUGGAUGAGCUGAUCAACACAAGCAAGUUGUGCUGUUUUGUACAGAGAAAAAUAAAAGCAACGACAGCACUUUAGUAUCUGCAUUGACCUCCAUGAUGUCAGAAUGUCAUUGUGCAACCGUAGCUAAGAAAAGCCGCUGAGAAAAAAAAAACAAAGGAGCUUUGCGUCUUCCAAUAACAUGAGAUGUGCAUAUACAUUGAACCAAGACUCUGUAGCUGAUACGCAAUGUCACUUACAACAUUAAUCAGAUACUGCAUUUAAGUUUCGGAAAACCUUGGAUGAGGACUUUUUUUUUUCCCACUCCUGCUUUCCCUGUUGAUAAACUCAGUUCUCCUGCUCACGGUCUAUUCAAGCUGCUUCCCAUCUGAAUUUUGACAACUGCUUCUAAAAAAUUAUCAAGAAGACCACGAACAGAACUUAUCUCCAUCGCUUUACAUAAAAAUGGCUGGGUGCAUUGCCAUGUUAACACUGCUCUAAGUGGUACAUGCAGGCUGAUACACUGUAGCCACACAGUUCACAAAAUUACUGAGAUGGUUUUGCUGAAAAUACCUGUCAAUACCACUUUUAAAAGACCCUAACAGAAGAACAACCUGAUUUUAGGUAUUUUUUUUUCAAGCAUAUGUUUCAUCUCUGCUUUGUGGAGGGAAGCGGCAGAAGGUAGCACCGAGCUAUCGAUGCUCAGAGAUACUUUCUCUUUCUUCCUGGCCGAAGGGCCUGGAAGGGCAGACAGGCAAUGAAGUCCCGUGUUAGGUCCAAGAGGAAUUCUCCGGGACGUGCACAGCACUGCGUUGAUGGCCGUGGAGCAGGCGCCGGGUUCUGGGAGCGCCGCGUUUCCUCACGGGUGUCAGUUCACAGCGGUUGCCUCCCAGGAGCUCGGCGGAGAGGCGCCGUGCCCGCUGGCCGCGCUCGCUGCGGAGCGAGGACAGGGAACACGCGCGGUG